rnacentral:rRNA from 1 species
CCUACGGGAGGCAGCAGUGGGGAAUAUUGCACAAUGGGGGAAACCUGAUGCAGCCAUGCCGCGUGUGUGAAGAAGGCCUUCGGGUUGUAAAGCACUUUCAGCGAGGAGGAAAGGGAGCAGUUUAAUACGACUG